CCGCCACCGAUAGCAGAUCGCUGCGGCCGCUUACUCAUGCAGUCGAGGGGUACAGGAGUGCUUGCACUCGCUGACGACCGGCGUGCGUAACGCGUAUAGAACCUACCUUUUACUGAGGGAUAGCCUUUAAAAUGAAGAUUAAUACCUCAUAGUAUUGCGAUUUGGCAUCAGAAUUGUAAUUAAAGAUUUAUUGGUAAAAGAUGGCUUGCGUCUUAUUAGCUAGAUGGUAAGGUAACGGCUUACCAUGGCAACGAUAAGUAAGGGCCCUGAGAGGGGGAUCCCCAAAAUGGUACUGAGACACGGAACAGAGUCCUACGGGAAGAAACCAUGAGGAAUUUCGGACAAAGGAAUGACACAUCUGAACCACAACAUGCCGCGUGA
rnacentral:rRNA from 1 species